rnacentral:lncRNA from 1 species
AGGGGGAUGUGGGGCCCCUAGGGCCAGAGGGGCCCCCAGGGUCUCCAGGACCUUCAGGGCCUCAGGGAAAGCCAGGAAUUUCAGGAAAGACAGGGUCACCAGGCCAGCGAGGGGCCACAGGGCCUAAGGGUGAACCAGGCAUCCAGGGUCCCCCUGGACUACCUGGACCUCCAGGUCCACCAGGGAACCAGAGCCCCUACUGAAAAAAGUCUUUGGCCUGAUGCUGCCAUGCAGGUUGGAGAGGUGAGGGUCAGAGAAAGCAGCCAGAAGGGUUGCUACAAUCAUUGUUCUUUGAUCCUAAUACGAGGGUGUCUCUUAGAGCUGACUGCAUAGCCUUAAGCUUCCCAAUAAUGACUGUACCAUAGGAAAACAGCUCACCUCCCCCUACUUUUUUCUGCUGACUAAAGGGGAGUCUAUUGGGUUUCUAUGGCUGGUUAGAAGGAAAGGCUGUGAGAGCCUGCUGGUGGGGGAAGGGAUAGCUACCUGGGGAAGAAUGUCUUAGAUCUCUUGGAUGGUAACUACUCUGGUCUCUGCAAUGACUUAACACCCAUGCGAGCCAAGUCUUGAAGAAAAAAAAAAUCCAGGGAAACUUUUGGGGCAUUAUAAAUGAAACUCCAGGGAUAGCAGCCUCCCCUCUUUCCCCCUCCCUCGACACAUAACAGUCACGGUAGAAUCAUGUGGAGCUGCCUUGAUCCACACAGGGCAAGAGAAGUCUGCCUGGCUGGCAUUCCCAGGCCUUAUGCAUGGAUACUGACCCUGACAAGUUCAGAGAGUUUUUAUUCACAUGUCCAGAAAAUUCCUCUUUUCAGUCUUACCUCUGCAUCUCAAGAGUGGCCUGGAAGAAACCCAAGCAGAGUUUCAUCGGCAGGUCAAGAACCUACAGGUCCCAGAGCACUCUGCUUGACUUCUAUCCAGCUCCCAGGAAGACCACAGGGCUGGAGGUGGGAGGACAUAUCAGGGGAAAACUCCCCUCUCCAAAGCCACCACUUGUUCAACCUACUCUGCCUUGUCUUACUCCCAGUAAUAGCCAAGGAGGAAGAAGCUGGUAACACGGCAGCUCUUGCCUCCUCCUCUUGGUUGACCUGAGACAGAUGCACAAUGACCUCACCCCACAAUGACCUAAGAUGGCUGGAGUUCUUUCCCACAUGAACAGCAAGCUGGACCAGGCAUGCGAAAGGCUGAACGUGCACAAGGAACCUUAGAUGUUACUUCUCGUCUUUCAUGAACUUCUUGAAUACACUGGCAGAAAGGGAUGCUGGGAAAGGCCUGCAUUUCCUUGACUCAUUUUGUAGAGCUGCCCUGAUCCUUCAUACUCCAGCAGACUCAAACACUCCUGGGCAGAGGCUAGAGCUGUGUCCUCUCUUGCCCUGCCUCAGAGACCUGUCUUCUUCUUCCUGUUCAAAGGCUCUGUGCUACCUUCUUCAUCAAUAUCAGUGUGCAACUGGCUUGCACGACCCAUCUACCCCUGCUGUAUAAUUGUCCUGUCUACAUAUGAAAAUAUCAUGCAACACAAUAUCGCUGACCCAGUAAAGAGCUGUUUCCAGU